GGUUCAGACAUAUAAUCUGCAGACUGCAGUGAAGGGCUUGAUGGCUGCAAGCUGGAGCGACCUUCCAGAUUCUUCAGUGUAGGAAGCAAAGAUGCUGAUAUGUAAUCUACUGAUGAUAAGGCUGGUCAAGAAACUCUGGAAAGUGUAUCUUCUGCAGCUGAAGUUUGUCGAGAACGUGGGGGUACUGGUGAUCCUAAAACUUGCAGUUGAUGAUCUUACUCGUUUGACUUAUGAGAAUGUGGGGCCCUUGCCUGGUUAUGUGGAGGACGUUGUUAAAGCUGCUUAUAAUAGAUACAUGCAUGCCGUAUCUGGAAUGUGCUGUUCCUGGUGAUCCGUACUUACAGAAGAAAGUAGAGAGAAUUGAGCACAAAAAUGAUGCAUUUAAAAAUACGGUGCAGUGGAAUGGGCUCUAAAUGGGAAAGAUUACGGAGUCUGAUCCAGUAGCAGCAUACUCCUACUUUCUCUGGCGUCAAUCUGGCGACUUCGUUGUGAAGAAGUCAGUCUGUCAGACAAGUGAUUAAUUAAUGUGAUUUGCUAAAUGUCAAUGGUCCCAGUCUUUUUUCCCCUCAAAUGCCAAUGCUCCCAGUCUGAAAGGCUGUCAUUAUGCCAUUUUCAUUUCUGGGCAUUUUCUUAAACCUGCUCAUCUAUUUAUGUACAUGUGCAAAUUUGGCAUGUAGUUUACGUUUAGGGCCCAUUUGGAUACGAGAAACGGUUCCGUUUCUUGCUAGAAUAACUCGAAUACAUGCCAAACACGCUUGUUAGGGAUGAUCCUAAGGGAGAAACGGGAAAAUGAUGAGAACAUCACUUUUUCAGAUAUGUACAACGCUACUUCUCAAGAGAUACAAU